rnacentral:rRNA from 1 species
GACGAACGCUGGCGGCGUGCUUAACACAUGCAAGUCGAACGAUGAACCCGGAGCUUGCUCCGGUGGAUUAGUGGCGAACGGGUGAGUAACACGUGGGCAACCUGCCCCUCACUUCGGGAUAACUCCGGGAAACCGGGGCUAAUACCGGAUAUGACCUCCUUGGGCAUCCUUGGAGGUGGAAAGUCUUUCGGUGAGGGAUGGGCCCGCGGCCUAUCAGCUUGUUGGUGAGGUAGUGGCUCACCAAGGCGACGACGGGUAGCCGGCCUGAGAGGGCGACCGGCCGCACUGGAACGGGGACACGGCCCAGGAUCGUACGGGGGGCAGCAGUGGGGAAUAUUGCGCAAGGGGAGAAAGCCUGACGCAGCAGCGCCGCGUGCGGGAUGACGGCCUUCGGGUUGUAAACCGCUUUCAGCAGGGAAGAAGCCGCAAGGUGACGGUACCUGCAGAAGAAGCUCCGGCUAACUACGUGCCAGCCGCCGCCGUAA